rnacentral:rRNA from 1 species
GCCAGACUCCUACGGGAGGCAGCAGUGGGGAAUAUUGGGCAAUGGGCGCAAGCCUGACCCAGCAACGCCGCGUGAAGGAAGAAGGCCCUCGGGUUGUAAACUUCUUUUAUCAGGGACGAAACAAAUGACGGUACCUGAUGAAUAAGCCACGGCUAACUACGUGCCAGCAGCCGCGGUAAUACGUAGGUGGCAAGCGUUAUCCGGAUUUACUGGGUGUAAAGGGCGUGUAGGCGGGACUGCAAGUCAGAUGUGAAAACCAUGGGCUCAACCUGUGGCCUGCAUUUGAAACUGUAGUUCUUGAGUACUGGAGAGGCAGACGGAAUUCCUAGUGUAGCGGUGAAAUGCGUAGAUAUUAGGAGGAACACCAGUGGCGAAGGCGGUCUGCUGGACAGCAACUGACGCUGAGGCGCGAAAGCGUGGGGAGCAAACAGGAUUAGAUACCCUCGUACGU